UACGGAGGGUGCAAGCGUUAUCCGGAUUCACUGGGUUUAAAGGGUGCGUAGGUGGGUCGGUAAGUCAGUGGUGAAAUCCCCGAGCUUAACUUGGGAACUGCCAUUGAUACUAUCGGUCUUGAAUACUGUGGAGGUCAGCGGAAUAUGUCAUGUAGCGGUGAAAUGCUUAGAUAUGACAUAGAACACCAAUUGCGAAGGCAGCUGGCUACACAAAUAUUGACACUGAGGCACGAAAGCGUGGGGAUCAAAC
rnacentral:rRNA from 1 species